UUAGCUCAACCCAUCUGAGUGGGAAAUAUGGUUAGCCUCUGUAGUGUCCAUGUGGAAGUCCUGACCUCGCUUGCAGACUUGACCUCUGGAGAUGAAAAGCUCUUCAUCUGGGAAAUGAGCUAGGUUCAUCUUCCUUGGACAUUCUAGCAUCCUUAACUUUCGGUCCAGCAAGCACAAGAGCUGAAUCAGCGAAUAGAGUGAACGAACACUCAGGAUGAGAUGGCUGCUGCUGAUGGGUCUGUCUCUCUAGGUCAUUACCUCUCUUCCAACUGCAAAUGCUGCAUGAUACUAAGCUUACAGAAAUACAUCUGGGACAAUUGCUUCAGGUCAAUAGAUCAUACAAAUUUGGCCAAACCAGGAUGAAGAGCAACAGAUAUGCUUGGAAAUGACUAUGCCCAACAAGAACAAUGAAGUAUAGUAAGCCUUAAUGCCAAAUCUUCAGGUAAAUGACACUAUAAAAUUCAGUCUUUAUGAAAAAGUAAUCUGUGCAAGUAAUCACACCAUUUUUUUUUUUUUGGUAAAUAAUGAACAAAUUCAAUGUUACUGUAAUGAUAAAGGAAUAGGGAAAAUGAUACAUUUCAGGUUUAUCUGACAACCACCUAGACCUACUCAGAGUACAUACUUCUUUAUGUACCCAUAUGAACAUACAAUGCUAUGGAAUGUAAAGAAGUAUGUAUUUUUGGUAGGUGAUAAACCACCAAGGGGCAAGGAAGUAGACUGCGACGGAAAGGAGCAACAUUUCUUUUGGAAUGACCUUCACGUAGCCAAUUAACCUGGCAUGAAAGAGGAUUUUUUUUCAGUACUGCCACAAUAAAAUGUGAAACAAAACAUUGUGUUCUAAAGACACUGAUUGUUUUUAUGUAGAGGAAGAAAGAUGUCUGUUGAGAAAAAGGUAAAGAAGACUUGAGUAUUUUUGGUUCAUUUUUCAAAUAGCUUUCUCAUUUUAAAUCCUUUUUAAAAAGAAGAAGAUUCAGAGUAAUUCAAAUGACUAUAAUGUGAGACCAAAACAAGGCAUCUUAGCAAAAAAAAAGGGUGGGGGAGGAAAAACAAAG